CGCAAUGUGCGGAUCUUAACCUAGUUAUUUUAGUAUUUUUAGUAGUCUGAGUAUGCCUUAACUAUUUUAGAUAAUUACUUUUGACUAUUUGUAUAUGUUUUCAAAUAUGUUGGACAACUUAAACUAUCAUAUAUAUUAUGGAUGUUUUAUAUAUAUUAAAUCUAGAAAAAACUUAAUAUAUAUAUAUAUAUAUAUAAAUCUAUUUCGAAUAUAUUCGGGUACCCAAAUAUUUCGGUUCAGAUCGAUUUCG
rnacentral:lncRNA from 1 species